rnacentral:tRNA from 2 species
GCUUCCUUGGUGUAGUCGGUUAUCACGUCGGUCUCAUAUCUCGUCGAGUAUGACUGUUCUUAGAACAGAAAUCCGAAGGCCGCCAGUUCGAAUCUGGCAGGGAGCA